rnacentral:rRNA from 1 species
UACGUAGGGUGCGAGCGUUGUCCGGAAUUACUGGGCGUAAAGAGCUCGUAGGCGGUUUGUCGCGUCGUCCGUGAAAACUUGGGGCUCAACCCCAAGCUUGCGGGCGAUACGGGCAGACUUGAGUACUGCAGGGGAGACUGGAAUUCCUGGUGUAGCGGUGAAAUGCGCAGAUAUCAGGAGGAACACCGGUGGCGAAGGCGGUUCUCUGGGCAUUACCUGACGCUGAGGAGCGAAAGUGUGGGGAGGCGAACAGG